rnacentral:misc_RNA from 1 species
GAAAUGCGAUAAGUAAUGUGAAUUGCAGAAUUCAGUGAAUCAUCGAAUCUUUGAACGCACAUUCGCCCGCCAGUAUUCUGGCGGGCAUGCCUGUUCGAGCGUCAUUACAACCCUCAGGCCCCCGGGCCUGGCGUUGGGGAUCGGCGGAAGCCCCCUGCGGGCACAACGCCGUCCCCCAAAUACAGUUGCGGUCCCGCCGCAGCUUCCAUUGCGUAGUAGCUAACACCUCGCAACUGGAGAGCGGCGCGGCCACGCCGUAAAACACCCAACUUCUGAAUGUUGACCUCGAAUCAGGUAGGAAUACCCGCUGAACUUAAGC